rnacentral:lncRNA from 1 species
GGAGGGGAGUGGUGUCUAGGUCUUUAGUGUAAUGGGUUCGAUUCCCCUAUGUGUAGUUUUUUUUCUUUUAACAUUUUCUUUUAUAUUUAUGCUUUAUUACUCAUAGUUUUUAUUAUUGUUUAAUAAUAUAGAUUUGUUUUUCUUUUAAUUGCAUCAAGUGUUCGAAACCAUUUGAAAACUAUAAAAAUCAUACUUUUCUCGAUUUAAUAUCGAGC